rnacentral:lncRNA from 1 species
AUUAUAUAAAUUAUAAGGGUGAGAUGUAGAGGGCCGCAAUAACAUUCGCCACCACUAGAUGGCGCUGUCUUCCACUGCGCCCCACGUGGUAGGCCAGGAUAGCCUCCGCCAUUACAAGAUGGCGCCAACCUUCGCCACGCCAGCCGGCCCCCCUUUCAGGAAGUUAACUGUGCGCAUGUGCAAGAGUGCCUUCAUGCCAGGUCUUUGCCCACUCCAGGGCGUGCCUUAUGAGAUCAUGGGUAACAACCAAUCAGGUGUGGGUGCGCCGCACUAGGGUUUUAUAAGCGCGCCAUGUUGGCAUGGUGUGGCUUUUUCCUCUUCUAAGAUUAAUAAGUGGUCACAGUAAGGAUUUCUAAAUGUCCGCGUGCUUCUUGCUGGCGGGAGGUCGCGCGCGGGACAAUUCAUCACAUUAUUUCUCUUUGGGUGACUUUGAUAGAUAUUGAGAAAAUUAGUGGAUGAAAUUAGACUUAUGCUUAUGUCAAUCUAUGUAGUUCCACAGUACUUAUUAAUCAAAGACAUGGUAGGCCUUCUGCUAGGUGUGGUCUC